rnacentral:rRNA from 1 species
GGAUGAGAAUCUUCGUCAAUGGGCGAAAGCCUGAACGAGCGACGCCGCGUGCGGGAUGAAGGCCUUUGGGUUGUAAACCGCUGUCGAGGGGGAUGAAGGCUGAGUAGUUAUCUGCUCAGUUUGACAGAGCCCUGGAGGAAGCACGGGCUAAGUUCGUGCCAGCAGCCGCGGUAAUACGAACUGUGCGAACGUUAUUCGGAAUCACUGGGCUUACAGGGUGCGUAGGCGGCUAUUCAGGUCAGGUGUGAAA